rnacentral:rRNA from 1 species
CCUACGGGUGGCAGCAGUAGGGAAUUUUCGUCAAUGGGCGCAAGCCUGAACGAGCGAUGCCGCGUGAGUGAAGAAGGCCUUCGGGUCGUAAAGCUCUGUUGCGGGGGAAAAAAGGCAGCAUCAGGAAAUGGGUGCUGACUGAUGGUGCCCCGCCAGAAAGUCACGGCUAACUACGUGCCAGCAGCCGCGGUAAUACGUAGGUGUCGAGCGUUAUCCGGAAUUAUUGGGCGUAAAGUGUGCGUAGAUGGUUGAUAUAAGUCUUUGGUAAAAAUGCUAGGCUCAACCUAGUAGGGCAAAAGAUACUGAUGAACUAGAGUACGGCAGAGGCAAGUGGAACUACAUGUGUAGCGGUAAAAUGCGUAAAUAUAUGUAAGAACACCGGUGGCGAAGGCGGCUUGCUGGGCCUGUACUGACAUUGAGGCACGAAAGCGUGGGGAGCAAACAGGAUUAGAUACCCCUGUAGUC